AUAUUGAUUGUUGAUGAUUGUAUUAAAUAGAGAAUUCGUAAGUGGUUGAUUAUUUGGAAGAUCUUUCUAAUUGAAGGUUUAUAUGAAGGGGGAGGUUUCCUGGUUUUCAUUGCAUAUAAAAUAUGAAAAUAAGUACAUCCCAAAGGGAGUGUGAAAACUACCACUACAUGUAACAAAGAGCUACCAUCCUCGGUUGUCCCGUAAGUGUGUGAAAUUGACACAUAAAAAUUAAUGCAUAAUCUAAGAGGUUGAAAAAAUGUUUAUGUAAAAAAAAUUGGUUGUUAUAAGAUAAUAUAGAAAAAGAUGCUCAAAGAGCUACUCCCUAAGUAUUAAUAUUGCAUAAUUCAAUGUGAAGGCAUUAUUGGAGUAUUUUACCUCUUUGAAUCUUCUAUUUAAUAUAUUUUCUGAAAAUAUGAUAACUUGAUAGGAUCAUUAUUCUUUAGAUCAUGUUUGAUGUGUUGAAAUUAAUUAAUCUAAGCAUUUAGAAUUUUUAUAGAUAUUUCUCUCAAAAUGUUGAAAAUUUUUUAUAUAACUAUAGUAAUUCUUAUAAAAUUAGUGUGUAAAUUGAAGGAUAUUGUUAAAAGUUAUAAUGUUUGAAUGCUUUUAUUAUCAUUAUUUACAUAAUUUUACAUCCGAAAGGAUCUGAAAUGUUAUUUUUUAUACAUUAUUGGGAUUUUCAGCUUUUCAGGAUCCAAACCCUAUUAGAGAAUCAGGAUCGUAAACACAGUCUAUUAAACAACGCGGGGAGGAUUCGAACCCUGCCUAGAGGAUCCAGAUCCUCCGCCCGACCCUUUAUAUCUAGAGAUCAAACGUCAUGCUCAUUUUUACGGAUUCCUUUCGAUUAAACACUUCUAAACUCUUCCUCUCCCGCUUGAAGUUUCCUCAUACCUUUGGGAAGGGUUUUGCUCUCAAUCAAGUAAGUUUUGUAGAUCAUUUGUUUCUCUAGAGCGUAAAAACUAUUGUUUUCCAGUUUUUGGUUAUUGUGAGUGCAAUUUCUUUGAAACUUCUUGUUUAAACUGAAUCUUUUACUCUAAACUUGUUUAAAUUGACAGUCUUACACAUUUUACAUCUUCCUACAUCACUUUGUAAGUGUUUAUUCUCCAUAUCUAUGCACAUUUAGAAUUUUUGUAAAUGUUUUCUAUUUUUGCUAAAUAUAGAUUUUAUGGGAUUUUUACACCCAUUUUUUUAAAAAAUCUAUUAUACAUAGACCAUUUGUUAGGCCCUUGAAACAUUUAGAAAUAUUUUUUAAUUUUUUUGAUUUUUAUUCUAUAUUUUUGGAACGAAUUACUUGAAUAGGACAUUUUUUGCAGAUUUUAACAAUGUAGUCUCUAUGUUUGGUUUUUGUGAUUCUUGUGGGAAUUUCUGAACGGGGCACGGAUUGAAAGUUCAGCCGAAGAGAGUUCGUUGGCAAUAGCACUCGGGCGUUAGCCAAGUGUGAAGGAUGCCGAGGACUGCUUGAGAGGUUGGUAGUUCCUUCUGGGUGCCUAGUGGCCAGUGGACGUGUGCUUGGUGGAGCGGAGCCUUGGGUUAAGGGAACACGAGCUCGGUAUGCGAGUGUUCAGACUGUGUUGAGAAUCCUCCUUGUGAGAUGAAGUUUUGGGUGAAUACCUAACUGUUGGAUGACCAAAGCAUAUUGUGCUUUGGUCACGUGGCGACGGUUAGAGGGUAUUGCUUAGGGAUUACUCGUGCUUGGACCGUGAGAGAACUAUAGGCCUGGGGCCUUAUGGGCAGGCGCAGUUGGUAUCUUGUGAUAGCAGCUCUGAACCUAAGGGCUUGGCUAGGAUUCAUGGUCGGGGCAGUAGUUCGAGCAAUGACCCAGAGACGUGUUGUGCCAAGUGUAGAACUGUGAGUUUGUUAGUACACCUAGGGCGUGCUUGGUUCACUUCUUUUUCACCAUAGAAUCGGAAUCGGAAUGGGCAAAUCCGUUUACAAGUGUUUGGUACGCUGGAGUCCCAUUUCGAUUCCGAUUUUUGAGUAGAAUGGGAAUCCCCCAAUCACCUCUUUUUUCAAUCCAGCCUAGGAGGCCGGAUUGAAAGUUGAAUCCGGACGAAAUGGAUAUUUACUCCGAUUAAAUUUAUUUUUUCAAUUUUUUAAUUAAAAUAUGAGUUUAAAUUUAGAAAUUAAAUUUUUAAUUUUUAAUUUUAAUUUGAACUUGAAUUAAAAUUUAAUCAAGUAUUUCGAAUCUAACUUAUGAAUUUGAAUUUAAAUUAAAUUUUAAUUUAUAUAAAGUUUUAUUCAAAUUUUAUUUGAAACUUAAAUUAAAUUUAUGGAUUCAAAUUAAAAUUUAAAUUGUAAUUUCAAGUUUCAAUUUGAAUAAAUCGAAAUUUAGUUUUAUAUUUCGAAUUAUCCACUCAACUUCAAAGUUUAAUUUUUUUUAAAAAAUAGAUUUAAAAUUUUGACAUUAUUUCAAAAUUUUGAUGUAAAUUUUUAAUAUUUAAUUUUUAAUUUGAAUUUAAAGUAAUAUAUUAUAAAAAUAAAGUUAAUAUAUUAAUCUGAUUACGUUUUUUAUAUUUACCUAAACCAAACACCGACAAUGAAAAUGAUUUAUUCCAAUUCCGAUUCAGGUGAUGAACCAAACAGAAUUAGGUAAUGAGUCAUUUCGAUUCUGAUUCCAACUUAUUUCGAUUCCGAUUCUGAUUUCGAUUCCGACUUCGAACCAAACACGCCCCAAAAGUGUAGAUGCGAACUGGCCAUAGGAUUAUGAUGACUUAGGAUGUAAUUACUCCUUGUUGGGAUUUUGAUGUAAGGUCCUAAUAGGGACUCCAUCAUAUGAUAAUUGGGUCCGCAUGUGAGAAUGAGAGACGUUGCAUGAUGUCGCGUCAGACUUUUGGCUGCAGGCCUAUGAAGGAUCGUCAGUCGGUGGACCCUCCGUGGCAAUCCAAAUUAAAUGGGUAAGCCCAGAGCUUCUAUAAUGUGAGCAUUGUGGCGCGCGAAAGGUUGACGGUAUUGACCAAAGGGGCAAAAGCUCGGUCUUGCCGCUCGCCCGAUUGGUCGAGGCACCAAACCCAAACCGCACAGCCUAGUGUUAUCGUACAAGUGGAGUUGGAAUUAUGAACAUGGGAUUCCUAUAGGCUCAUUGUAAGAAUGACACGAUACCAACCUAGUUGAUGACGAAGGUAGAGAGUAUGUAGCGUCAGAUAGCAUGGAGCCAAAAAUGGAUGAUUCUGCUGAGUUAUCUUCGAAAGUACAAACUACAAGAAAAGGAAAAACGCCUGCUGCCUUGAAAGGAACAGGAAAAGCAACAUCUUUUUGUGGAAAGAAAAGGAUGGGCAGAGUUGAAAUUUGUGAAACCACUUCUGAGCUUCCAAGAUGUAGUACACGAUAAACUGAGGACACAAGACUGGAUCCAAGGAGAUUUGGAUCUUUUGGAAUGCGUUUGUGCAUUGGAGGGUGCAAUGUGGCCAUGAACCAGCUCAUUGAAUAUGCUCUAGAGUUUGCAAGAUUAUAUAAAAAUGGUUAUCUUCAAGAGAUUUGCUUAUUUCCUGAGCAAGGUGGUUAUUGUUUGAAACUAAUACGGAGCUUUUACAUAUGCACUGGGCAUUUGUGAGCCAAUGUUGGUGGCCUAUACGACUUUAUGACUUCAGUGUGUGGAGUUUCUUUGUUGAUCACUCCAAAUAGCAUUGGUUGCAGCUUUGCGACUUGUCACGCCCGGGACCCAGCAAAGGCCCACCUGGUGCGUUUUCAGACCCGCCAUAUGCCUACAACAUAUAAGGCAUCUACAACAAAGCGAUAAAUAAAAUAAUAAUAAAUGAGCAUCUAGGAGUAUCAGAGCAUACAACAACUAGGUUCUAGAAUAAGGAGGUAAAUAGAAAAGCUAAUCCACUAACAUAAAACCAUGAAGUAGUACAAUAAGGAACCCAAAUACAAGUGCUAAACAUAUGAAAAUGGUGGUCUCUAUACAUGGAUACCAAAAAAAAUGGUGGUCUCUAUACAUGGAUACCAAAAACUCUCACUCUCUACAAAGAUACAAAAAAUAGAGAGAGAACCACCUAAUAGCAAAAAUAUACUCCUCGCUAGCUAGCUAUGCGAUCCCUUUGCCACGAUCCCGAGCCUUCACCGGUGCGGAUAGCUCUGAAAAACAUCAAUAAACAAGAGCGUGAGAACUAUUAAACAAUAGUUCCCAGUGGGCAAUUACUGACAUCAGUGAAAUGCACCACUAGGCUAAAAAGUAAAAGUAGUAAGUUCUAACAUUUAAAUAGAAUGAGUAAUAUGUACCCUAAACAUGAAUAAAGCUUGUAGAACUACUAUGCCUCUAUUUAGCAUGGAUUUGCAUAAGUGUAAAUGUUAUUCUAACAUGAAUAUGUGUAUGUAUAAACAACAUAUUGUCCACAAGCAUAACUAGUAAAAUGUCAUUGUUGACUAACUUGUCCAAUGUUUACUUUGCAUUGUCGUCCAACAAUAUUUCAAUCAUGUAGAACCUACCCGUGGGUAGUCCGGCUUGCGGCGUGCCUAAUGGACCCGUGGUAGUCAACAUUUUCACCCUAAGAAUGAGCCUCCCCUACGGCAUCUCAUUUCGGCACCCAAUCCCGCACGGGCGAGCUUAUGUCGCGAUGGCUAUCUCCGGAGUGCCGGCUUGUGGGGAGCGACCCUCACAAGCAUGUGUGAAUGAGCACAAUGACAAGCAAGCGUAAAUAUCCGUUUCAAGUCCAAUGUCAUCAUGUCUAAAACAUGAUAUAAAGUCGGUGUCUCAAUGGCCUAUCACUAUGUCAUCAUGUCUAAAACAUGGUAUAAAGCUAGUGAUCCCAUGGUCUAUUUCUAUGUCAUCAUGUUGCAGUUUAACCGUUUACUAGGUUGAGUGCCCUUUUAUGGCACUUUUGUACACUAUGUCAAACAUGAGUUCUAAAUCCAAGAGCAUACUAUAUAAGUUAUUUUCUUUGCAAGAAACAUGAUUUCAAAUCUUAUAAUAGAAUGCUAUCUCAUUCAAGCUAACAAUGCAUAUAUCUCUCUCUACUCUAUAGAGGUAAUUUUCAUAAAAUAUAACACAUAUAUUUUAAGCAUUCUAAACAUCUCGUAUGUUCUUUCUAGUAUGAAUAUACAUGCAUUUCUAUUUUACGACAAUUAAAAAUGACAUAAGAGGAAUUUCUCCUAUUUUUGGUGAGGUCAAACCCACCAAAACCUCUCGAACUCCAUCGUUCGUGCCGACGAAGGUGUCCACUAGCCUCCUAGCUCCCUAAAGGUUAAAUUAGGAGAGAUAAGCGAAAGAAACGAACACCUCUAAGCUCAAACAUUAACCAACCGAAGCAAAAAAGGUAAAACUCACCUUAUAUGGUGAAAAUCCCUCUCAAAUUCCAAAAUGAGGCUAGAGCAUUUCAAAUCUACCCCAACAAGAUAUUCUACAACUAUUAAUUAAGUCCCAAAAGCUCCAAAUUAAAAAUCUCCAAAAUAAACCCUAGAUUUUAUAUUCUAGGUUUAUUCCCAAAAAAAUCCUCCAAAACAAGAUCUAAAAAGAAGAUCAAGCUUACUCACCUCUCUUGAAGUCCCAAAUCUAGCUAGGAAGGUGCUAGGGCUGAAGUUCUCCCUCCAAACAAUCUCCAACAAAAACUUCAAAGCUUCUCCAAUGGUGAAAUACAACAUAGAGCAAGGAGGAGAAUAAAAGAGGGAUCAAAACAAGCUAAAACAAAGCAAAAUGGAGAAAAAACCAAGGGAGAGAGCCUCACCUGUGAUCUCCACAUUUUAGGGCUCAAAAGAGCUCUCUAAGGGGCUGUGGAGGGUUAUAUAGAGUUACAACAUUUGCAAAAACACUCUCCAACUACGUGCAACCUGCACUGCACUGCGUAUCGGUACACGAGGAAUAGUACCGGUACCAAGCCAGCUAGACAGCCAACCCGAGCCUCGGGUUCGCAGAAAAAUACACUAGUAUCGGUACCAGUCCGAUGCUGUACCGGUACCAGGUCCAGUUCCGAUACAGGCCCGUUGCUGUACCGGUACUCUACUCUGCAGAGUCCAACCCGAGAGCAGUCUAAAAUUUUCACUUUAGAGAUUUUAGUACUAAGUUUUAAACCUUGAUUCUCGGGAUGCGAGCCAUAGGUCGGAACACUGUCAACGACCCGCCAGAAUAUCUGGAAGAACUCGAAACACAGAUCAAACACUCGAACCUCGUAAUUUGUAAAGGUCCAGUGUGUUACAUUCACCCUUCCUAGAAAGGAGUUUCGUCCGCGAAACUAAAAAGCAAAGUACCUCAAGACUCUAUCUGAAAAAGAUGGAGAUAGCGCUCCUGCAGUGCGCUCUUCAGCUCCCACGUGGCCUCUCGCUCAUCGUGCUUGCUCCAAAGAACUUUCACAUAUGGAAUAUCACGGUUCCGUAGCUUCUUCACCUCGCGGGCCAAAAUCCUCACAAGUUGCUCUUCAAAGCUCAAAUCAUCCUUCAGCUGCAAAGGUGUAGCAUUCAAAACAUGAGCUGGAUCAAAGAUGUACUUCUGAAGGAUCGAUACAUGAAAAAUAUUGUAUACGCCCGACACGUUCGGCGGUAGAGCAAGUCGAUACACUACCGGGCCUACACGCUCCAAAAUCUCAUAGGGUCCAAUAAACCGGGGGCUCAACUUUUUUCGAAUCCCAAAUCUUCUGAUUCCCUUGGUCGGCAAGACUUUCAAGAAGACAUGGUCUCCAACUUGAAACUCCAAGUCUCGUCGACGCUUAUCAGCGUAACUCUUUUGCCUACUCUGGGCUGUCAACAUUCGCUCCCGAACAAUGCGAACUUUAUCUUCUAUUUCCUGGAGCACAUCGGGGCCUAAAGCCAGUCUCUCGCCAACUUCACUCUAAUGAAGUGGCGAUCUACACUUCCGUCCAUAGAGUGCUUCGAAGGGUGCCAUCUUGAUGCUUGCUUCAUACUAUUGUUAUAAAUAAACUCCGCAAUCGGUAGAUGCUGUGACCAUCCUCCUGGAAGUCUAUCACACAAGCUCGAAGCAUAUCCUCUAGUGUCUGUAUAGUGCGCUCAGACUGUCCAUCAUUCUGAGGGUGAAAUCUGGUGCUGAAAUCCAACUGGUUGCCUAAGGCGUCCUGCAGACUCCUCCAAAAGUGAGACACAAAUCGGGGGUCUCGAUUAGAUACAAUAGUAGUAGGCACUCCAUGAAGUCUCACAAUCUCAUCAAGGUACACCUGUGCGAGCUUCUCACCUGUCCAGGUCGUGUGAAUAGGUAUCAAAUGCGCCGAUUUUGUCAACCUAUCCACGAUCACCCAAAUAGCAUCGUGCCCGACCUAUGAGCGAGACAAUCCCGUAACAAAGUCCAUGGUGAUCUUUCCCCACUUCCACACGGGAAUAGGUAAACUCUGAAGUUUUUUCGCGGGGACUCGGUAUUCAGCUUUCACUUGUUGACAAGUUAAACAUUGAGCAACAAACUUGCCAACGUCCUUUUUCAUCCAGAGCCACCAAUAAAGUAGCUUCAGAUCCUUGUACAUCUUGGUGCCUCCCGGAUGUAUAGCAUAAGGUGCACGGUGAGCUUCUUGAAGAAUAUCCUUUUUAAUUUCUGAAUCCACCGGUACAUAAAUCCGCCCACGGAAACGCAUCAACCCUUGAUCAUCCACAAGGAAGUCACCAGUGUAACCAUCAACCAUCUUAGCUCGAAUCUUUUGCAACUCCACAUCGUGAACUUGCUUUUCUUUAAUUCUAUCCAAUAAUGUAGGUUGCACCAACAAUUUCGUCAGUCUCAAGGGUGUAUCAGGAGCUACCACCUCCAACUCUAACUGCUUUAUCUGCUCAAACAACGACGGUUGAGUGACUACUAGCAUCGCUAAGUUUUUCGUCGAUUUCUGACUUAGCACGUCUGCCACCACGUUAGCCUUGCCCGGGUGGUAAAGAAUCGUAAGAUCAUAAUCCUUGAGUAGCUCCAACCAUCUGCGCUGCCUCAAGUUCAACUCCUUCUGAGUGAAUAAAUAUUUUAAACUCUUGUGAUCUGUAUACACUUCACACCGCUCGCCAUAAAGAUAGUGGCGCCAUAACUUUAAUGCAAAGACUACAGCCGCCAACUCUAAGUCAUGUGUAGGGUAAUUCCUUUCAUAUUCCUUCAAUUGGCGAGAUGCAUACGCAAUCACCUUUUCGUCCUGCAUCAAGACACAGCCCAAUCCAUUAAAAGAAGCGUCACUAUAAAUCACAUACCCUACUCCCGCAACUGGCAAGAUUAGGAUCGGGGCGGUCGUCAAUCUAGCCUUCAACUCCAAGAAGCUUCUUUCACACGCAUCAUUCCAAAUGAACUUGGUGCCUUUGUGCGUGAGCCGCGUGAGGAGAGUAGACAACUUCGCAAAUCCCUCAACAAAUCUCCGGUAGUAGCGGGCCAAACCAAGAAAACUCCGGAUCUCCGUGACACUCGUUGGUCUAGGCCAAUCCUUGAUAGCUUCAAUCUUCCUAGGAUCCACGGCUAUACCCGAUCCCGAAAUUAAAUAUUCAAGGAACGCCACAUCUCGAAGCCAAAACUCGCACUUCUUCAAUUUAGCAUAGAGUUUUUUUUUUCUGAAGCAUUUGAAGUACUAGCCUUAAAUGCUCUUUAUGAUCUUUGUCACUUUGGGAAUAAACCAAGAUGUCGUCGAUGAAUACCAUGACGAACCUGUCUAGAUAAGGCUUGAAAAUAUGAUUCAUUAGAUCCAUAAAAGCUGCCGGGGCAUUAGUAAGCCCAAACGGCAUGACAGUAAACUCAUAAUGUCCAUACCGUGUUCUAAAAGCCGUUUUCGAGACAUCCUCGGGCCUGAUCUUCAGCUGGUGGUAUCCCGACUGCAAGUCGAUUUUGGAGUACACACUCAAUCCCUGAAGCUGAUCAAAUAGAUCAUCAAUUCUCGGCAAUGGAUACUUGUUCUUAAUCAUGACUUUAUUAAGUUCACGAUAGUCCACGCACAAGUGAAGUGAUCCGUCACUCUUCUUAACAAAUAAAACCGACGCUCCCCAAGGCGAGACGCUAGGUCGGAUGAAACCUUUAUCCAACAAAUCCUGCAGUUGUGCCCUCAACUCCUUCAACUCUGUUGGUGCCAUCCUGUAGGGCGCCUUCGAGAUUGGAGUAGUCUCAAGGACGAGACCUACCACAAACUCAAUCUCCCUAUCAGGUGGCAUAUCUGGAAGCUCCGCUGGAAACACAUCACCAAACUCCCGCACUACCGGGAUGUCCUCAAUUCUAGGGGUGUCAUCCUCACCCCUCAGCACAACACUAGCCAAAUAGGCUAUUCAACCCCUGCUGAUCAGCUGCCUAGCUCAAGACGAGCUGAUCGUCAUCGCGAAUAGCGAACUCUGGCAUCCUCUAAAUACAACAUCUUCCUGUCCCGGCUCUCUAAAAGUGAUAGUCCGAUUCUUGCAAUUAGUAGAAGCGAAGUACCUCGUCAACUAGUCUAUACCGAGAACCACAUCAAACUCCCCAGCUUGCGCAAAGCUAGCAAAUCCACGAACAUAAUCCAAUCCCCUAACCGAACAGGGCAACCGGGGCAAAACUCCCUAAUGUCUAAGAUGUGGUCGGGUACAACAACCUGUCCUGGAUGCGACAAAGAAACUAAUGGGAUGCCAUGCAACUCGGCAAACAGCCGAUCUAUGAAUGAAUGCGAUGCACCGGUAUCAAAUAAAGCUCGAACUCUAAUGCCAUUUCAUAAAAUGAUGCCUACUGUAAGGUGCGAAACUUCUAAAAUUUUAAAGUUAAGGUGUACAGUUGGUUUGGAAAGCCAUUAGAAUGAUUUCGGUGAAAUUCGGAAGCAUUCGGACGUUUUCGUUGCGCGUAGGCGCGAAAACUGUACCCGAAAGACUAUGUUGGACCAUGAACUAAAUCCGACAUUAGCGUGGAUGAAAAGAUGAUGAAAUCAUGCUCGGAAACAUGUUUGGAGAGUCUCGGUUCAAUUUGAAAUGAAUCGGAGGCCAAACGAGCGAAAACGAGCAAAAACAGACCAAAAGCUGAAAAUGCUGAAAAUUUGGUUUACUCCUUGAAAAUGCUGAUUUUCUGGACCUAUGGGGUCCAGACCCUAGCUUCAAGGUCCGGACCCUGAGCCCGAAAAAUGCCCAGAAAUAGCAGAAAAUUAUGGUAAUUUGUGGGGGGUUUUAUGCAAUUGUCAUGGGAGGGUUAUAUGAGAUGGUUCCUCUCAUUUCUCUCUCUAUCCCUCACAACUCUACCCAAACCCAAGCUCUCUCUCUCUCUCUCUAAGCUCUCUCAUUCUCUCUCUCUUGAAGGAGGAAGACAAGAAGGGGAUUUGGAGGAGAUUAAAGCUUGGAGGAGAAGCUUCAUCUUCUUCAUCUUCUUCCUCUCCAUUGGAACUAACUUGAGAGGUAAGCUUGUAGGGUUUUAAUGGUAGAUUUCUAGGGGUUUAUUCCUAUGUUCUAGAAAUGGGUUUUGUUGAGUUCUAGGAUGCGAAUGAGAUGGUUAUUGCUUGAAUCUAGAGUUUAAAUGGUGGAUUCUUGCAAUGGUUGAUACCUAGGGUUCAAAAUGGGAUUUUGUUAAAUGAUUGGGUUUGAUCUAAUUUGAACCCUUGUAAACCUAAUUGCUAGGUAUUUUAACGCGCUGGCGAAGUCGGUUCGGCGAUCCAUCGAGCCUGUGCAAAGAUAUCGAAGAAAAGGCUUGUUGAGGUACAGAUUGCCGCAACACGCGGCGUAGGCUUCCUAAAAUCGCGAAAUCGGAAUCGUGGGCUCGUGGCAUCACCUAAAGGUGGAGGGUGUCCAUCCCGAAGCAACUGAGCUUCUUCCUAUGUCCAAGUUAGAAUUGUUGAUAUGUUUAUACAUUAUUCUUAUGCAUUAUAGGAUAUAUGUAUAGUAGCAUUUCUACUUCCUUGCAUGCAUGUCUAGUAGUGUAGCAUUGUGGGCUCGACACUUAAACCUAGAAUGCAUGAGCAUUAAGGUGGUGACAUGAGAUCCUAUAGUGAUAAGAAAAUGGUGAACUCGGACUUGAUGGUGAAAACUAGUGAACUUGAACUUGGUAAUGAGAACCAAUGGAUUGUGAACAAGUGUAGUGAAAACACUUAGAACUUGGACGAGUGGCAUGUAAACAAUGUUAAUAACAUGACGAGUGGCAUCAGAACCUAGUGUAAUAGAAACACUUGUGGCAUUAAGCAUAGGGAAUAUGUGAGUUUUCCUAGUUGUGGCAUAUUGCAUGAAAAUUUAGUGUAGUUGACACUACGGCAUUGAACAUAGGGAUAGAUGGAUUUUCCUUGUUAUGAUGUGCAUGAGAACCUAGAGUGUUGUGGUUAACCCUAGUUGACAGGGUAUCCUCGAGUUGAGAGGAUUGGAUCAUACUCACGUAGUCUGUUUUGAGCUUGUGGUGGUCGCUCCACACAAGCAGUGCACUCCGGAGUUGUCACACGAGCUGGGUAGCUCACGAGCGGGGUAGCUCACCGGGUGGGAUACGAGCGGGGUAGCUCCUCACCCAUUGGACUGGGAAGUGAGUCGGGCGAAGGGUGGGGUAGCUCUUCAUCUGUGAGAUUUGAGCGGGGCAGCUCUCUACUUGUGAGAUUGGAGCGGGGUAGCUCUUUACAUUUGAGAUAUUAGCCGGGGCGAAGAGCGGGGUAGCUCUUCACCUACUAGAAUUGUAUGUGGAUACCUAUGAGAUUUGGGAUUUGAGUUAGGGCGAAGUGCAGGGUAGCUCUUCAUUUUGGACAUUCGAGAUGUGAAACGGGUGAGAUAAGAGCGGGGUAGCUCCUCACCUAUAUGAUUUGAGAUCUUAGGCAGGUUAGCCUAGUGGAUUGGGUAAUGAUGUGAAUAGCAUAAGUGGAUUUGCAUUCAUACCAUGAUUAGACAUAGUAUAUGUUAGAGGAUUACAUAACUAUGUUGAAUUUGUAUUUAUUACAUUGUUGAAGCAUACUAACAAAAUGGUAGGCUUGUUAUUAGAUGAUAUUCCAUGCAUUGUUUGCAUUUGAUAGCAUAGUAGAUCAUAGUUGCAGUUCAAUAUCUAUCUAUCUAUCUAUCUGUGCCAGCUUAGACCUACUGGGAAGAUCGGCGGAGUCGGCGGCCGAACCCACUGGGAACUAUUUUAUAUAGUUCUCACCCCACCUUGUUGCAGGGCCGAGUGCGAGCGUUCCGGGGGAGGAUCGCGGUAAGGGCGUAGCGUUCUAGCUAGCUAGUAGAGCUUUUCCUAUUUGUACUAGAGCACCCUCGUGUGCAUGAUUAUAGAUGUUGUAUUUUGGAGAGCUGGCGUGUAUUCAUUUUUGGUGAGAUGGAAAUGUAAACAAAUGUAUAAAUGGAUGAAUGUGAUGUAAUAGAUAGAAUACUCUCUCGUUUGUUUACUUGUGGUAUUACUUACUUGCUCUUUUGUAUGCUUGUUAAAAUUACUCGCUUGCAUUGAUCAUGUAUGUAUGUCAAGUUUUUCCUGGGUAACUUGUAUGCAUGAUCUUGUCGUUGUUAGCCUUGGGCGGACAGAGGAGGUGCUGUCCGCUGGGCGUUUGUUCGACGUGCCCGCAACCGGCCAAAUUGGCGGUCGCGAGGGCGUGACACCUGCCACCAUAUCCUCGGCUACUGCCCCCUCCUCUGUCUAAGCAGCAUACAUACACCCGCUCGGGGCCUGUCGCAACCCUUCAGUCUGACGCUGGACGGGUGGCCGCCCAGGCUGGUAGUGUGCCGACGGAGUCCCCUGACUAGCCACAGGUAAUGUCGGUGCCGAUGCAGAAGACGUGCCGGUGACGAACCCCUCGGGCACUCUGUCCGGAAGUGGCCCUCCUGGCCACAAAGGAAACACCAGCCUACCCACUGCGGACACUGCGGUGGAAUGUGAGGGCCACCACAGAUCACACACUAGGGAGGUCGGCGACAAUCUGAACCUCCACGCUGUGCCGACGAGCCACGUCCACGCUGCUGGCUCCUAGGGUGCUUCAGCGGCCUCCUAAAGUGCGUCUGACUCGCACCCUCAGCCGCGGGCCUCUUGCCCUUACCCUUAUCCAAGCCCUCUCUCCGCUCCUGAAUAUCCGCCGCGCCGCUCUCCACAAUGAGCUUGCGGUUCACCACUUCCCAGUAGGUUUGGAGGUUGGAAGACUGCACAAACCGAAAGAUCGAUGGGCGGAGUCCUCGCUAAAAAAUGCGGGCCUUGUCCUAGUCAUCCCGCAUGACGAAAGGCACGCAAUGCAGAAGCCGAGAAAACUCCCUCUUGUACCCGGCCACACUUCAUUCCCCCUGGCGUAAACUGCGCAGAUCCUGUUCCAUCUUCCUCUUGAUGAUGUCGGAGAAUUAGUGCGCUAAAAGAAGCUCCUUGAACUUCUUCUAAGUAAUAGCCGCCAAAUCCGUACUUGGGUUAUUUUGAAUAUCGAGCCACCAACGGUAAGCCUCGCCGUCCAAGUGGUGAAUGGCGAGCCAAACCUGGUCUCUCUCCUCCACAAAAGUAUUGCGGAAAAGCUUCCCAUGUGCAUCAACCACUUCUCCACGAUUCAGUGGUCGACCUUCUUUCCAUCGAAGAUCCGGGGACUGCACCUCCUAAACUCGUUGAAGUGAUCCAUGAGCCGGUCCCGCUUCUCUCCAGCGGCCAUCACGGAAAAAACUGCCCCCGCCGGAGGCACCUGAACAGGUGGUGCCACAACAUCCUCCUCCCGAGGCGCGACCACGGGUGCCGCCCCCGAAGAACCGGGCGCGGGAGACGGCGCCCUCGGUGCAACGUCGUCAACUGGCGCAGGUGGUAGGGGAAUCUAAACCUCCCUAGCAGCCGCUUGCUGCAGAAGCAGAUCCUCGAGUCGCUUCAUCCGCGUCUCCUGCCGAUGCGCCACCUCGGCCUGUCGCUGAGUCGCCGCCGCGUGCUGGAUCACAAGAUCAGUGAGGACCGCAAGCUAGGUUCUCAAGUCACGGACCUCACUAGAUCCGGAAGUGGCGGAGGUCUCCACUUCCUCAAGGUUUGCCGCGUUCUCUGCCCCAACAGAUUUAGAGCGAGUAGUCGGCAUCGCCACUACAACAACGUAAAAGCGCAAGUUAGUAAAACCCACGCUAUCGGAGCCCCACUCAAACCAAUAACACCCAAAUCAUGUGAAAGUAAGGAAGUGUCCUUUACUACUAACUCCUGAUGUUACGUUGUCGGCCGCCAACGUAACCCUCCGCGAAGUUAGAAGCUAUGGACUUUGAUUUAACUCAAACAUUUUAGAGUUAUAAUAAAACCCAAUCAUGGUACUUUCGCUUAUAUGUCAAAUAAACCUCAUCUCUCAUGAGCCUAUUUCCUAUAGUCCAAGUGGCCUAAGGUUUACUAGGUCCACUAAGAUUCAACCCUAGGCUCUGAUACCAAAAUAAUCUGUCACGCCCCGGGACCCAGCGGAAGCCCCCCCGGUGCGUGUCCAGACCCGCCAUAUGCCUACAACAUAUAAGACGUCUACAACAAAGUGAUAAAUAAAAUAAUAAUAAAUGAGUAUCAAGGAGUUUCAGAGCAUACAACAACUAGGUUCUAGAAUAAGGAGGUAAAUAAAAGAGCUAAUCCACUAACAUAAAACCAUGAAAUAGUACAAUAAGGAACCCAAAUACAAGUGCUAAACAUAUGAAAAUCGUGGUCUCUAUAAAUGGAUACCAAAAACUCUUACUCUCUACCAAGAUACAAAAAUAGAGAGAGAACCACCUAAUAGCAAAAAUAUACUCCUCGCUAGCUAGCUAUGCGAUCCCUUUGCCACGAUCCCGAGCCUCCACCGAUGCGGAUGGCUCUGAAAAAUAUGAAUAAACAGGGGCGUGAGAACUAUCAAAUAAUAGUUCCCAGUGGGCAAUUACUGACCUUAGUGAAAUGCACCACUAAGCUAAAAAGUAUAAGUAGUAAGUUCUAACAUUUAAAUAGAAUGAGUAACAUGUACCCUAAACAUGAAUAAAACUUGUAGAACUACUAUGCCUCUACUUAGUAUAGAUUUGCAUAAGUAUAAAUGUUAUUCUAACAUGAAUAUGUGUAUGUAUAAACAACAUAUUGUCCACAAGCACAACUAGUGAAAUGUCAUUGUUAACUAACUUGUCCAAUAUUUACCUUGCAUUUUCGUCCAAUAAUAUUCCAAUCAUGUAGGACCUACCCGUGGGUAGUCCGGCUUGCGCCGUGCCUAAUGGCCCCAUGGUAGUCAACAUUCCUACCCUAAGAAUGAGCCUCCCCUACGGCAUCCCAUUUCGGCGCCCAAUCUCGCAUGGGUGAGCUUAUGUCGCGAUGACUAUCUCCAGAGUGCCGGCUUGUAGGGAGCGACCCUCACAAGCAUGUGCGAAUGAGCACAAUGGCAAGCAAGCGUAAAUAUCUGUCUCAAGUCCAAUGUCAUCAUGUCUAAAAUAUGGUAUAAAGUCGGUGUCUCAAUGGCCUAUCACUAUGUCAUCAUAUCUAAAAUAUGGUAUAAAAGCUAGUGAUCCCAUAGUCUAUUUUUAUGUCCUCAUGUUGCAGUUUAACCAUUUACUAGGUUGAGUGCCCUUUUAUGGCACUUUUAUCUACUAUGUCAAACAUGAGUUCUAAGUCCAAGAGUAUACUAUAUAAGUCAUUUUCUUUGCAAGAAAUAUGAUUCCAAAUCUUAUAAUAGAAUGCUAUUCUCAUGCAAGCUAACAAUGCAUAUAUCUCUCUCUACUAUAUAGACGUAAUUUUUAUAAAAUACAACACAUAUAUUUUAAACAUUCUAAACAUCUUGUAUGCUCUAUCUAGUAUGAAUAUGCAUGCAUUUCUAUUUUACGACAAUUAAAAAUGACAUAAGAGGAAUUUCUCCUAUUUUCGGUGAGGUCAAACCGACCAAGACCUCUCGAACCCCGUCGUUCGCGCCGACGAAGGUGUCCACUAGUCUCCUAGCUCCCUAAAGGUUAAACUAGGAGAGAUAAGCGCAAGGAACGAACACUUCUAAGCUCAAACAUUAACCAACACAAGCAAAAAGGGCAAAACUCACCUUAUAUGGUGAAAAUCCCUCUUAAACUCCAAAAUGAGGCUAGAGCACUUCAAAUCUACCCGAACAAGAUAUUCUACACCUAUCAAUUAAGUCCCAAAAGCUCCAAAUUAAAAAUUCUCAAAAUAAACCCUAGAUUUCAUAUUCUAGAUUUAUUCCCAAAAAAAUCCUCCAAAACAAGAUCUAAAGAGAAGAUCAAGCUUUCUCACCUCUCUUGAAAUCCCAAACCUAGCUAGGAAGGUGCUAGGGUUGAAGUUCUCCCUCCAAACAAGCUCCAACAAAAACUUCAAAGCUUCUCCAAUAGUCAAAAUCCAAUAUAUAGCAAGGAGGAGAAUAAAAGAGGGAUCAAAACUAGCUAAAACCAAGCAGAAUAGAGAAAAAACCAAGGGAGAGAGCCUUACCUGUGAUCUCCACGGUUUAGGGCUCAAAAGAGCUCUCUAAGGGGCUGUGGAGGGUUAUAUAGAGUUGCAACAUUUGCAAAAACACCCUUCAACUACGUUCAGCCUGCACUGCACUGCGUACCGGUACAUGAGGAAUAGUACUGGUACCAAGCCAGCCAGACAGCCAACCCGAGUCUCGGGUUCGCAAAAAAAUACACUGGUACCGGUACCAGUCCGAUGUUGUACCGGUACCAGGUCCAGUUCUGGUACAGGCCCGAUACUGUACCAGUAUUCUACUCUGCAGAGUCCAACCCGAGAGCUGCCUAAAAUUUCCACUUUAGAGAUUUUAGUGCUAAAUUUUAAACCUUGAUUCUCGGAAUACGAGCCAUAAGUCGGAACACUGUCAAUGACCCUCCGAAAUAUCUGGAAGAACUCGAAACACAGAUCAAAUACUCGAACAUCGCAAUUUGCAAAGGUCCAGUGUGUUACACGACUUGUGGCCAUUACGAAGGACAUGAACAUUAUUCCAAAGAGUUGAAGCCCGAAUAUAGAUACUUGAAUUUUAUUGUGGACUACAACAUACUACUAAUGAUGAAUACAAAGGUAGUGUGUUGGGAGUAAUUAUUGUAUAUGUAUUUAUUUGGAUAUCCCGAAGAGGCAUGUGAUUUAAAUAUAAACAUACCAUUUCUGAUUUGGCAUUGUAUAUCGAGAGAUAUCAAAUCUUCAAGUCCUGAUGAACGAAUGUUAUAUUUGAUGAUCGUCAUGUGGAUUCCGAGAAUCAGCAAGGUGAACACUCAAUGCAAUAAUUAUGAGUACAACCUUGAAAUGAUUAAUGACACUACUGUGGUGAAGUCCUGACCUCCUAGGAGAUCACCUGUGUCAGCGGGUCCUUCGCAUCCACCAAAUGAGCCAUCUGAGGAGGAAGUUUACGUUACAUUCAUCUAUCACGAGCAGCAGCGAGUUUCCUUUGAGUAGGAGCACAUUUCUUCUGAGCUACAAUAGAUUUCAUCUGAACAAGAAUGUCUUAUGCCCAAGCAAGCAAAGAUUUUAUAAAGCGAUCUUUGAUAAGCUCAUAUGUUGUCGCCACGACAUUCCACCUUAUGACGUUGGUUCAAACUAGCUAUGUUCACAGGGAUUUCUUGUGUCAUGUUUUUAUUGCAUCUUAGAUCAUCUUACUUCGCAUUGAUCAUGCAUCCUUUAUAUCAUAUCUACGUCCAUGAUUUUGGUUUGUUUCAGGUCGUUUCAAGUGCACAUUAUCUUUUUCCCUUGUUUCUUUUACUUUUGGCUAUUUGUGACAAAAAGAGGGAGGACUAUAUAAUAUGUGAUAUGGAUGUGUGAUAUUGUGGUUUUGCUAUAUUUUGAUGUGUGAUAUGGAUGAUAUGAUGUAAUGACAAUAUUACUCUACUAUCUUGACUUUGAUGUUUUUGGGUUUAAUUUGUAGUCUUUAACUCCCUUGUGCAUCAAUUAUCAUUAUUAACAUAUCUGGUUAUUAAAAUUUUAUUUGUCCAAGAUUUGUUCUUUUAUAGGGAGUAUAAGACUUCAAGACUCCUAAUUGUGUUUAAGUCAUAGAGUUUAUAUUAGAAGUUCUGAAAGUAUUGUGAUUGCAAUUUUGCUUUUAUUUGGGUUGAUCAUGCGAGAAAAUUGUCGUUUGGUGACUGCGAUAAACUCCUUUUUUUGAGUUGAGAGAUUUGUGAGCUUCUUUUGUAAUUUUGGUUUUGUCAUUUAAUCACCAAAAGUGAAGAUUGCUAAGAAUUUUGUAGUUGGUGGAUUUUGUGAGGUCUUGAAGGUUGAGAGAUAAAAAGGUCAAGAUUGAAGACACGAAGACUUCGAUUAUGGACCUCUUGGACCCCAUAUAAACAUAAAGUUAAUGGUGAUUUAUGCAGAUACUUAAGUAUUCAGAAGCAAUCAAAAUUGGGAUUAACUUGUUUUCAUAUAUUACUAAAAUUUUCUAGUGUCAAGAUCCGAACCUUGAGGGAAGAUCCGGAUCCCAAAAGAGUGAUAAUCUAUGAUGUACUAAGAAUUCAACCCCUGAGAGAGGAUUCAGAUCCUGAACAUCAAAUAUGUUAUUUUGCUAACAGGAUCCAGACCCUGUCUGAAGGAUCCAGAUCCUGAAAGGCUUACACUUUAUAGUGUAGAGAGGUCCGGGCCCAGAAUAGGGAAUCCGGAUUCCAAACCCGACUGAUCUUUUUAAAAUUGAUUUAUUCAAUUUUAAUCUUAUUUUAAUUGCUUCCAACCAUGUAAAUAAGAUAAGGGUAGGAGGAGGAAGAGGAGGAGGAUGAGGAGGGGGGAAGGGGGGGGGNNNNGGGGAGGGGGGGGGGGGGGGGGGGGAUUUCUUUCCAAAAUAUGGUUAAGAUUAGAAUAUCUCUUCAAACCCUAGAAAUAUUUUUUUGGUGCUUCUUCUUCCUUUUUUCAAGAACAAGUUUUUUUUUUUAAAAAAAAAAAUUGAUUCUGGGAGCUUUGUUUCCAAUUUUCUCCUAAGAAUCAAACUGAUGUUUAUUUAGAAGAUUUUUCUAAGCAUCAAACUACCAUCAACAAUUAGUUGAUUACACUCCGGAUAGAGUAUUUGCGCCUGGACACGCGUGAAGGCCGUGGAUUCGGUGAAGGGUUCGUGGAUUGGAGGUAUGGACGUUGCAUGGACUUCAGUUGGAGAAGUUCAGUAGAUCAUAGACAUCAAAGGAGAUCUACUAGAACUUGGGUAAGGUUGAGUCAUGGAUUCGGUAUAUCACAUUGUACUCUUUUUAUUCGUAGUGGAUUUUUCAUGUGAUCUAUCCCUUGAUUUUUUACUCCGCUUGGAGUUUUUGCACCUAAAUUCUCGUUGUGUUGAUUUUAUCUUUCCACAUUUAUUUUAAAUAUGCUGAGUUAGUUGCUUUUUAUUUUUUACACCUAUUUACUCCCCUAUUGGGGUUAUUCUACCUUUUAGAUCUUUAGGUUAACUGCUUAUUGGUUUGAGUUAAUAAUUCAGCAUAGGGUGUUUGCAAACUAUGUUGAUUGUGCUGGCAGAUAGUUUCAUAAGAGAUUGUAUAUUGAUGGAUUGACUGAGUAAAUAACUCAAUCAUAAUGCCAAUGAGAUGUACACGUAGCAUCUAAAUUUGUUAUAUAGAAAAUUGUUGGCAAUUUGAGAGUAGAAGACUCUAUAUACUACUAAUGACAUGUAAGGCACUAUUUGAGUAUACCUAUGACCAAGGGUAUAUGAUCGAAUGAUUUUCUUAGAAUGAAUCUGUCAAACAUUGUCAUUUUUGGUCAUGGCAUGAAAAAUCUUGCUAGAAGAUCUAAAGAUUGGAGUGAUAUAUUAGUAUGGACUAGAGCAUGGAGUCGAUAUUGGUGGUAUUUUGAAAAUAUCAUAUCCUUAUAACUCUAUGUGAGCCUUGAGCGACUUCUUUGGCGGUGCGACGGUAAGGAUCCAUUGGAAUAUACGCAGUCGAGGUAAGAAAGCUUAUACUUGAGAUGGAAAGAUAAUGGGCACAUACAAUAAUAUGGUUGAGAUUAAGAGGUUUUUCGACGAUAUGUGCUCUAGAUUGGAAGUGCCUACUAACAACGGAAAGUUUAGCUAGAAUUACUGCCAAGUUGAAAUUGACUCCGAGCAUGUAAUAUAAAUUUGGUUUGAUGAAGCCAUGAUAAACAUUGCGGGAACUGUAAACAAUGUCCAUUAUGCGGGUGUAGUAUUCACUGUGGACUGAUUGUUGGCUAAUAAUUAUAAGUUGGACAUGCGCUAAGUAUGAGGUGGCUCAAUGAUAGUCGGAGUAUAGUAGCCUUCCAUGAACCAUGAUAGAGGGAGUUUCCCUACAAUUUUUGUAAGCACCCUUCCAUGUGAUGUCAUUCUCAACAUCACGUGGUAAAUGAAAAAAAAAGCAAAAGGGAUGAAAUUUGCGUGAUAACAAUAGUGAAGAAGUGCAUAGAGAUAUAUGGCAUAAGGCCAUUCUCUAACUUCAGAGUCCUCUGGCGGCCUGGUGGUGUAAGCGAUUGUACUACCACGGGGUGAAUGUGAAGACCGCCAAGUUUGGAUGAGCUAGCCUUGAGGUGCUACAAUCCAAAAAAAGGGAGCGCACCUAGUUAGUGAAGUGUACUAAAGCAUGAUUGCCUAACGAUUAUGGCUAGCACGAAAAAGAAUAGAGGCGUAGUACGCUUGACAAUAGAGUUUGCCUGUGUAGCAUGGAAUGAAUGUUUAGUCAAAGAGGGUUCGUUGAUAGUAGUACUUGAGCUUUGGCUAAGUGUGAAGGUGGUCGAGGAUCACUCGAAAGGUUAGUCAGUCUUUCUUUGUGCCAAGAGGCUGAUGGAAAGUAGGUUGCUCAUUGGAGUGAAACUUGAAGAUAGAUGAGUAGCAAUUAGAUGUUCAACUACUCAACAAUAGCAAUUAUCUCUUUUUGAGGUAAAGUAUCCGGUGAACACCUAAGGUUUGGACAGCUCAAGGCACAUUACAAUGGGAACAUCUUAGUCACAUGAUGAUGGUUAGCGGGCUUUACUUGGGGACUACCCAUGCCUAGACUAUAUAGUGACUGUGGAGCCCAGGGCCCUUAGAGAUAGGCACGUACAGUCAUCUUUGUACGAUAGCAGACCGAAAUUCAAGGGUAGGGCUUGGCUGAGAUUCUAUGGUCAGAACGGUAAUUCGAGCCAUGACCUGGGAGCAAGGAGUACCGUGUGGGAACUAUAAUAUUGCUAGUGGACCAAGGUCUCAUGUAUUGAGACAAAAGAGUUACCUGCGAGUGUUGAAGUAACCCGACAGUAAGAUUGUGACAUAUCAAAGUUCUAGUUACUCUUUGUCGAGGUUAGAAGAUAGAAGCUCACAAAAGGACUUCGUCGUGCGAUUAUUCUUGUACAUGAGAUAGGGGAAUUUUGCAUCGUGCUAAAUGUGGCAUAAGGCAGUGAGCUCGGGGUAAAAGAAAACGGUUGGUCAUAGUACCACACAGUAAUUGAGAUAGCCGACGUGCUUUUGUAGCAAGUGGAGUUAAUGACUUGCAGCAAGGUUUAGGAUGGUGGCCUUAUAACACAAGGCUUGGUCUAAGGGUUUUCUUGAUUAGUUGGAUCACUAAACCAUAGUGCCAGGCAAUACUGCAGAGAUGAAAUUGGACUUACGGACGUGAUGUUCGUACUUGCUUGCCAUGAGGAUAACAUGUGGCUACUAGUGGCAUUUGUGAACGGCGAAACGUAUACUGCGCGAGAAGUUAAGUUGGGUUAAGUGGAGAACCAUAUGAGUUGGGGGCUAAUUUCAAGAAAUUUAUAUACUCGAGGUCAUGCUAAAGUACAACUUCGUUAUGGGCAUAGAGGGCUUCUUGCGAUAGAACCCGCUUAUGAUGAGAGCUUUCCAUGAAGUAAUGAAAAAGUUCUACCUAAACCUUAUAUGAAAGGAAAUACCAAAUGUUAUUGCUCGGGAGCGAUGCUAGGGAGAGGACCAUAUUGGGUUGGAAUAUAGGGUAAUCAAUAGAAAGAAGAGUCGUACUGUGUGAGGUAGACUCUCGAGUGGGCAAAUGAAGUGGAAUGAUAUUGGACUAUGGUGUGGAUGACACUAAUACUAGUCAUCGGCGGAGUUUGCCUACGAUAAUAGUACUCGUGAGAGCAUUGGAAUGGCAUCCUAAGAAGUCGUGUAUAGAGGAAAAUGCCAUCAUCCAUUAUACCAGAGUAAGAUUGGUGGGGAGUUCCACUUGGGCCUAGACAUAGUGCAAAAGACAGAGAAAAUACUUGCUUCGCGUGGGAAUGAUUAGUGACGGUACAAGUUCGAUAUAAAGGUAUCUAAACAAGCGUCGGCGUGAACUGAAAAUUCAAGUAGGAGAUUAUGUCUCCUUGAAUGUGUCAUCAACAAGUGGAACCUAAGGGUUUGGCAUCGAGGAAGGUUGAGUCCUUGAUCCAUUGGGCAAUUUGAGAUUAGGAGCAUGUAGACCCAGCAGCAGGGCAGCAUUCUCUCAUAUUGAGUCUCUUGGGAGCUUGAGAGCACCAUAUGAAAGCAUUCUCCUUAUCUAUUUAGGGAUUUGAUUUGAGUUCUAGUUUCACAAAUAAAAUUUCUUUUAAGGAGGGAGGGAUGUUAUGCACCAAACUUUGACUAAACUGAUAAAGUAUGAAUUAAGUCAUGCUAGACAGGUGUAAAAUAGAUUUUGAUAGGCUUAGAAUGAGUUUGGAUUGAAUUAAAAUCAAUUUGGCUCGAAACAGAGUUUCAAAAAUAAGGGAAUAUGAGUUCCAGACCUUUUUGGAUGUCCGAAAUAGGGAUUUGGGUGUCUGGAAGUGAUUUUGAACGGCUAGUCAGAGCUCUCAAAUCAUUCGGAUGCUCUUUUAGAGAGCAGGAGUUGCUGUGUAGUGUACCGAAUCCUCGGCGCGCUAAACCGAACUUUAGUCAAAUUGACCAAAAGGUGGUAAUGGACGCUUUGGAGAGGUCCGUUGAAUGUUCCGAAGAUUCGGAAUAGCUUAAAUAGGUGCAAGGGACCUUGGAGAGCAAGAUGUAAGAAUUCCAAGCUGAUUUUUGCUGGAAAUGCUCUCGGAGUCCAAACACUGGAUGUAGGGUCCGGACCCCGAAAACACAACAAUUCAGAAUUGGCCAAAAUUCAGUUUUGUGAAGGGUUAUGGUGCAAUUGUGCUAAGGGAAGCCUUAUAUAAGGGUAUUGAGUCAUUUCCCCUCUCGUUCCCUUCACACUAAACCAAAAGAGAAACUCCUCUUUCUCUCUCUAAACCUUUCUCUCUUUCCCUAGGGUUUGCUCCAAAAGGUGGAGAAUAGUAGAGAGGAGUUUGCUUGGAGGUGAAGCUACCUCCUUCUACACCCUUGGCUAUAGGGAUGCAAACGGAUCCGGGUUGGUAGAGCUCCCACCCCGAUUCGCCCCGACGGGGGUAGUAAAUGGGAAAAAAUAAACGGAUCCGGGGAGGGAAACGGGGUAAAUUUUACGAUCCGAGACGGAUUCGGGGCAGGAAACGGGAGAGAAUCCGCCCCGCCAUGAUCCGCCCCGAAAAUUAUUUAUAUUUUAAAAAAGUAUUCCUAAAAGAUAAUGUAUUUACAAAAAAGUUCAAAAUACAAAUAACUUAGUACUCUCAUUUGUAACGUAUUUGAAACUUUUGAAUUUUAUUUUGAAUUGUGAUUGAUAUUUUUUAUUUUUAUAAUUAAUAUUGUUAAAUUAUAUAUAUAUAUAUAUAUAUUAUUAAAAAUUAUUAAUUUAUAUUUACAAAAUAUUAAUAAUAUUAUAAUUUUAUAAAAAAUAUUAGUUGGUCGGGCGGAUUCGGGGCGCCGGCGGGAGUCGGGUUACGAGGCGGGGCGGAUUAUGGGAUGUAUUUUUUAACCCGUCACGGAUUCGGGGCGGGAGGCGGGGCGGGAUUUUGCUAGUCGGGGCGGAAGGUGGGGUGGGGCUCCCGCCCCCAGAUCCGCCCCGUUUGCAUCCCUACUUGGCUAGAAAGAGAGCUUGAGUUUGAGGUAAGCUUUGUGAGAUUUCAAGGUUUAUGGUUAGGGUUUUGUAUAAAUCCCUUAAAAAUGAGUUUUUUUGGAACCCUAGAUGAUUCUAAUCCAUGUUAUUGCAUAAAUUAUCAUGGGGUUGGAUUUUAUGCAAUAUGCGAAUUUUUAGGGUUUCAAAAGAGGGUUUUGUGCUUAGAUGGGUUUUGAUCUCAAUUGAUCCUAUGUUUCCACAAUUGAAGGUAAAACCGACACGGAGGAUCGCUUGGAUUGAGAUUUUGUUGAGCUUGUGGUGGUCAAUUUGAAGAAAACCCUAUUUUUACUUUGUUUGCCGCAGUCGGGUGAAAUCGACGAUGAUAAAUCGCGCUGCUUGGCUUCCCACUUCGUGGCGACGACUCGAGGUGGGUGGUGCUAUCCGAAUUAGCCGGAUUUCAUUAUAUAUCUAAGUUCUACAUAUUGAUCAUAUAUCAUCAUGCAUUGAGAGUAUGUGAGAAAACCUAUGAGUUCUUGGUAAAUUAAUACUUUAGUGUGAGGGACGAUGAUCCAUGUUGCAUGAUACUUGUAGUUUUAUUCAUUUCCAUGAUGUUGAGAUAGAUGUAUGUAUAUGUAUGCUGCAUGAGAACCAUAGAUGCACUUAUUGUAUGAUGCCAAGAUAGAUGUAUAGAUGUGUAUGCAUGAGAGGCUAGUGAACACAUGCAUGUGGACAUGUUGUGAGAAUAUACUAGAUUCAUGAGGAACUAGCUAUGUGAACCUAUGGAUUUAUGAGAAUUGGGAACUAUUGCAUAUGUGAUCGAUUGUGAGCAUUGCAUGCUUUGUGAUUGGUUAGGAUGUGGGAUUCCCGCGGUCCUCGGGCGGGGGGACUUGAUUAUACUCGCAUAUACGUCUGUUGUGGCUUAUGGAGGUCGCGCCUCCCAAGCAGUGAGCUCCGGAGUUGUAUCACAUUGAGAUAGAGAAACGGGGGUUAGGCACGACGGUGUGCCCUCGGCAGACGGUCACGUGCUGACAUUAUAUAGCGAGUCGUGGUUCAACCAACUGGUGGCGAACCGAGUGGAUUGAAUCAAGGCAUGGUCAUGGCAUUUGAUAUAUAUACGUUGCAUAUAUGGUAGAACUUCUACUUGUUGACAUGUUUGGUAAAGGCAUAGCUACACAUUUGAAGCAUGAUAUAGAUGUAUAUGAGCAUGUUAGGCUUGUUGUUUCAUCUAUUACUUCUUUGUUAUAUUAACCUAUCUAUUGUUUCUAGGGUCGACGGCCGAACCUACUAGAAACUUUGUUUAGUUCUCACACCCUGUUUUGCAGAGCCAAGCACGAGUGCAUACGUCGAGGAUCGCGGCAAGGGCAUCGAGCCCUAGAUAGUGUGGACCACGGGGACUAGCUCACUAACCCUAUUGUAUAGCAAGAAAACAAGACAUGUACAACCCCUUUUGUGAAAGGAAAAAAAUGUAAUGUAAAUGGGGGAGUUAUCCUUUUGUGUAUAAAAGAGAUGUCAUUUCGUAUAUAAAUGAGAAGUAAAGUUUAAUGAAUGUAAAUGUGAUGUAAUAGAUAGCUUUUAUUCUCUCGCCCUCGCAUCUGUGUAUACCUCUUGCGAAUGUUUGAUGCUAAUAUUUUCUGCUUGGAUGUAUGUAUGCACAGACUUUGUUUACGCCUUGGGUGGACAGAGAAAACUCUGUCCGUACGGCGGGUCUAUUUCGGGCCCGAGCAGUCCAAAUUGGCGGCGUCGGAUCACGACAUGCUGUAAGACCACUUUCAGGCACUCGAAUUAUCCCGUGGGUGCCUGAAUGUCUUCAGAGCUCAUUUGAGGCAUCCAAAAAAUUUUCAGAUCCUCAACCUGAGAGUUGGAUUGCGCUGCAUAGGAAUUCAGAUAUCCUCCAAGCGCCAACAAAACACUUUCGGACGGUCUGUUGUGGUCAUAGGAUAUGUUUCGGAUGCUCAACCUUUAUGUGCAAGUCACGGGAAGAACAGAUAAUCAGACGCCUAAAUCAUCAUUUUUGGGUUGUGAAUAACGCGAGCUAUGUGGUCUUCUAGAUUCUAGACAGGAUGCAGCUCCGUAAGCUUCGAGGAAACGAAAGUUCGCGCAGGCGCUCGUAACCUAGCGUACAGUGAGCGGUUGAUUCAUUUGUGUGUACGAAUCUUUGAGGGUCUUAGUUGCUAUUAUAGCGCCCCUAAUUGUUUUCACUGUCAGCCCUAACCCGCAGCUCAUUUUCUCUCUUCGUCACUCUCUCUCUUCUAUUUUCUUCCUCUAGAAGAAAAGAGGCGCAGUUGCUCCCUCUCCUUGCAGCUUGGGGAUCCGUCUUCUCCAAAGGUUGGAAAAGGCGGAGAUCCUAAAGAGGAGCUCUAGGAAGAAGAAAAAGCCCUUCUCACCCAUAUUUUACUAUUGCACCCCUAAGAUUUGGGAUAAUCUUAUAUAUAAGAUAUCUCUUAAUCCGAUUAUAAUAUUUUGAAUAGCUGUUAGGCCCAAGAGAUUAAGAAUAGUGAGUGAGCCUAGAGGUAGAGUAGUUCUAGGAUGGAUGACCCUUCUGGAAAGCAGGGUAUCACAAUUGGUAUUAGAGCCAACAUCACCCGAAAGUAUAAGAUAAACUUCAAUUAAUUAGUUAGGGUCAUACAGCGGGCAGAGUUCGAUUUUCCAACUUAUAAACAUUCUGGAUGGAGGGCGACUCAUCAGAAAAUGGAGUAAGGCUGGUGAGAUGAGUCUCCUAUCAUGUAGUGCUUGCCAGUGUGUUUGAGCCUGCCGAUGAUGUCACGGUUUAAGGGAAGAAAAAAAAUGUGAUAACCCUACGAUUUGGAAUAGUUUUAUAUAUAAGGUAUGGUAGAGUUAAACUUCAAAACUCAACUAUAGUAUUUUGGGGGUGGCUAGGCUCAAGACAUUAAAAGGGUUGAGCGAGUGUAGGACUAGGACAAUUCUAGGAUGGGUGAGCCCCGUAGAAAGUAGGGCAUCACUUUUACUCUAAGCACCACACCUUCAACGCACUUCUAGCUGCCUUGUCAUGCAACCUUAUAAGCUAACAGCCUUUUUAUUGUCACCCGUCCACUAAGGUUGUCACUCCCCGCUUUUCAUGGUAUCAGAAACUUCUGUUUUGACUUAUCCAUACUUCGGGCGCCAAAAUGUUGCAUGCACAAUAAUUAGCAGGAUCUUUGCUAUACGCUUCGUUCUUUCCGAGGUCGAUGUACGUGAUUCAUUUUUUAUGACCGCUCAGUAUUUCACCAUAUGAAGUUUUUGGAAUUUUGAUCGAAUUUCUAUUCUCGCCCACGCGGUUGCUUGAGCUUUGCCCUUACAUUGUGCGCUGAUAACGUGUCCCCAUGCCGAAGCAUUUGUUCACGCAACCCACAUGGCGCACUCUGGCUCUCUCGUUUGUGGUUGCUAAAUAUGGACGUCAACAACUUCUAACAAGCAUUUUUUGUAGCAACAUAGAGAUGAAAGGAAAAUAAAAGUUCGAUAGUGUCUUUGUAAAAAUAAAAUAAAUUGCACUUUUGAUCCUCAAACUAUGAGGUGUAUGACAUUUUGGUUCACGAACUUUGACUUAUAGUUUUAAGUUUGUUUUAAUCAAGUCAUAUAGUAUAAUUUAAUUGAUAAAAUAGUAAUGUGUCAAUAUUGUGGAUGAUGAUGCUAGAAUAGUUAAGAUGUUAUAUUCCUAUCACAUUGGCGGCACUUUAUUAAUUAUUGAGCCAAGUAAAUUGCAUUGUAGAACUAGAUUGCAACAAUUUAAAACGUUCGGGCCUAGAUUUAUAACAAAUUAAAAUAUGAGGACUAAAGCGUCACAGAACUCAUAGUUUGAGGGCCAAAAGUAUAAUUUAUUCAAAAAAAAAUUAAUACAAUGUACUAAAUAAGUAAUUAAAAAGAAACUCGAAGAAUAUAAUGUAGUAAAAUAUUAUUAAGUGUCCAAACUUCAACAAUUAAAACUUCAUGAUUAAGGUCGAAAUCAUUUGAUGGUUGGGACCUCCAAUGAAACAAAUAACUUUUCGGGACUAGUCUGAAAUAAAUGGUUUGAUAAUAAACUGAAAUUGCAGCACUAUAUAUUUUGGGUACGUAGCAAUGGCGUGAUUAAUUAAUUUACCCAUAUAUCAAAGUAAAAAGAUCUAAUCAGAGUCCCGAAGAACCUAAAAUAUUAACUAUGUUUGGCUUAGUUUUCUGCUCAAGUGAUUUAGCUAGGUUUAGAGAAUUAAUUGUUUUAGAUUCUGAUAUAUAGUUUAACAUUUAAAAAAUUUAAUUUUAAAUUUUUAAGAUUUUAAGAUUUAAAAAAAUUAAGUUUUAAAAAUUAAAAUUUAAAAUUUAAAAUUUAAAAUUGUGAGGUCUCAAUGAAUAGUGAAUACUGGGGCUUUAGGGUUGGUGCGACGUAUAUAUGGACAUGCUUGAUUGCAAUCGUCCUAAUAAUCUGAUGAAUAAUAAUCAAGCACCAAAACACAAACGCAUACAAUAAUUUGAGCAUCAUUAGGAUAAUAAUUUAUCUUAUUAAUUUAGAGCAAUUUUAGAGAAAGUCUAACAUUUUUGUCUACUAAUUAAUCUUUUUUUUAAUACUAAAGUUCUAAAAAUAUUUUAGAUUCAGACAGGUAGGUGUGAGGUAAGAUUUGCACUCCAAUAUAUAUAUAGAAGGGUGUGCGUAUAGCACUUUAUUUUUAUUUAAAUAAAGCAAUUAUUAAAACCAUUAAGGAACUAAUUAGUAUUAUUAUUAUUAGUAUUAUUAUUUAUUAUUAUUAUUAUUUAUAACACACACGCGCCAUGUAAUUAAUUAAGGAGGCGCUGCGACACUAGCUGCGGUGCUGCCCGUGUGGUAUGGCGUACUCGCGACGUCAGCCGGCACGCACGUUCGUAAAAGUAAAAGCAGGCUUUCCCCCGUUCUGGACGGACGGUCACUAAAUAUUAAUUUCUAACAACGUCAAAAACUUUGUUUUAAUCACAGAUCCUAAUUUCCGACUUUCAACGCGACACAGGACCGCUCCUACCCUUCCUAAUCCCCUUUCCUCUAAACAUUUUGGUAUCUGGUAUCGGAAUGACGCGCGCGUGGGGCCUGCAGCUGCAGCGAUAUUGGGCUAGCUUGGUCGCGCGGCUGCGUCGUGGCGAGACCCGUAGUACCCGUAAAGCCCCUUUUCGCAUAGCAACAAGUUGACCGCGCGCGCGGGGGGUGACGGUGACGGUGACGGUUACGGUGACGGUGGCGGUGGGGCCCGUCGGAUUAAUCUGGAAGGAUGAAAAUGGAGAAGGUUGGGCCAAAAAUGUCAGCACUUUCUAGGCCUGCGUGCUGCUGGAAAAUUAUUAGUUUUCCCUCCUUGACACGGUUAUUAAUUUCUAACUACAAAAUUAAUUAACAAUUAUUAAUCGCAGCACCAGAUACCAUUCUCUUCUCAAACAGUACAUACAACUUAAGCAUAAUUGUGCAAGUUCACAUAAACAGACAGUAUUGGGCAAAAUCUGAUGAAUAUUUUUUAUUAUUUUUUAUUUAUUCUUCGUCUUUUUUUUUUUUCUUUCUCUCUCUCUCUUUUGUUGUCUUCCUUCUUCUUUUGCCACCCAAUGUCGACGCGACCGUCAUGUCAUCACCGUUCACUUUAAGUGCUCCAACAUCAGCGGCCUCGACCUCACGCGGUGGCUCUCGAUCGGCCACUACAUGGAGAGCUCUUGCAUCCUAACAGUCGCCGCAGCAAUGCAAAGCGCUUAUCAAUGCCCCUUAAAAAGUGCAGCAAUGCAAACGCCUUGAGCGUAUUUGUAUAGCGAAAUACCCCAUCACAACAUCAUCUUGUAAAUCGCCAUCAUUAUCUGCCUCCUCUUGAGCUUGGUGGCUGUAAUGGAAGGGGAGAAGAAGAACUUAAAAAAAGGAAAGAAUCAGAUGAAGAAAAAAAAAAUUGCACUACUAUUAUGCUUAUAUAUUAUACUAUUCGUACACAAAUUAUACUAUUUAUAUAAAUAUUGCGUUAUGUGUGCUGCUUUAAUUGUUUGUACAAAGAUGCACUUGUAUUGCACCGAGGGAUAAAACGGAUCGGAUAUGGUCGAAUAUUUGAUGUGAUGAAGCCAUAUCUGCAUUUAAAUUUUUUUUUUUUUUUUUUCUGGAUACGUAUACAUAUGGUAUGCUAAAUUUUUAUUACCAUAUAUCCGUUAAAAACAGAUUCGGAUAUGGUACGAUAUUUUUUCGGAUUCGAAUAUGAAUCCGAUAUGUAUUCAAAUAAUAAUAUAUAUUAAUAUGCACGUAUACAAAAAAUUAUUUUAUUUUUCUACCUUGUUUCCUAACUAUAUUUCUUCAAAUACAAAAUAUAUAAUUUUAAUAUAUAACUCAUUAUAAAAUAAUUGAAUAAUACAAAAAAUUACUUUAUUUUUUUACAACAUAUAUUAGUCAUCCCUUCGUACGUUGGUUGGCAAUGAAUUAAAGGAGUAGACAAGAAAGAUCAACUCGGAAAGAAAAGGAUUUGGACGGGACGGGCGGGUAAAAUUGGGCCGGACGGAUCCAAAAAUAUAAAGAAUAUAAAAAUAAUAAUACUAAAGUCCGGAUAUCCACAUCCAUAUCUAUUUUUUUCGAAUAUCCGAAAAAAAUUUAACUCUCUAAAACCAUAUCCGUAUCUGUAUCCAACUGGAUCUAGAUAUUUUCUAUCAGGAUCUGAAUAUUAUCAAAUAUGGAUAUAGAUAUCGUUUCAGUAUCUGUAUCCGACUGGAUCCAGAUAUGUUCUAUCGGGAUCCGAAUAUUACGGAUAUAGAUAUUUUUGGAUAAUAACCUAUCCAUUUUCUAGUUGCACCGUUUGUAUUUGUGUUAACUUUUUGAAAGCAGAUUACAAUAUUUUAUUUUAUUAAGAAAGAUGAAAGAGUUGGUAUGUAAAUGGAUACAGAUACCCAAAUUUUAUCUGAAUCCAAAUCCAAAUGGAGCGGAUUUUACCCGAUGUAAGUGGAUAUGGAUACGGAUAUGGAUAUUAAAAAAGAAAUCCGACGGAUUCGGGUUCAAGUAUGGAUAUUCUAACCAAACCCGAACCUGAACCUGAACCCGAACUCGAAUCCAAACUCGAGCCUGACCAAAUUUAAUAUGAUAUAAUAUAUUAAAAAAAUUCAAACCAUUAGAUCUCAAUUUAAAGGCCAAAAAAAAAAACUUACAUUUUUAUAAUCCAAACCAAUAUAUAUAUAUAUAUAUAUAGAGAGAGAGAGAGAGAGAGAGAGAGAGAUAACCCAAACUUUAAUAUUCAAACUUCAAAGCCUUCCCAAUUCCUCCCCAAGCCCUAACCUGAAUCCCUAGAGAAUAAUAAAAGUAGUUGUGGUCUCAUGUUAAUUUCUCUACAAAAGGUCGAGAGCAUAUUUUGACUUGUUGCUUUCUCCCCAAGAAUCACAAACUUAAAUCUAAGAAGAAAAAAUGUGAUAAUUUUUUUUAAAAAAAAUUGAGAAUUAAGGUUGCUUUUUUAUGUCGGUUUUUUUGAUUCUUCAUAUCUAUAUGUCUUUUUUUUUUUUUCAUUUUUUAAGUUUAGUCUCUUAGUUCUUAUAGGUUGUUGCGCAAUGGAGCAAUUCCUUUCUUUUUUAACAUUUUAAAAAUCUUUUGUUUUGUUUUUUUCUUAAUUAGUAUUUUUAAUUUUAGUCUUUUAAUUCUUAUGAAUUGAUUCUUUAAAUCUAUAUGUCUUUUUUUAAUUUUUAUUUUUUUCUUAUGGUUGUUGGAUAAUGGAACUCAUAAUUUUUACAAUUUUUCUGUGUUUAAUUUGGGUAUAGGCUCAUAGCUAAAAGAGAAGCACUUGGAUUCGGGUUUGGGGUUUUUUGUUCGGGUAGGAUUUUUGGUCGGGUUAGGGUUUGGAUAUGGAUUUUUAAAAUCCGUUUGAGUUUGAAUUCGAAUUUGAAUUUUGAAUUUGAUAGUCGGGUUGGGGUUCAGAUUUUUAAAAAUCCACCCCGAAUUCAACCCAUUGAUAUUCCUAAAAAAAAAAAAAGAGAGAAUAAAAAAAGUAUAUCUUAAUUAAAAAGUAUGAUAUACAUUAAUUGCUCUUUUUAUUAGAAUGAAAAAGGUUCUCUCAUCUAUCUCUUUUCAAUAAAGAAGCAAUUAAUACCGGUUGUACUUUCUGAUAAAGUUAUAUUUUUCUAUUCUCUUUCAUCAUCUCUUUUCUCUUUUUCUUCUCUAUAUUAAUUUUUUUUUUAUUAAAAAGUAGAACUAACGUACAUAAUAACUUUUCUCAAAAUAAAAAUAAGAGGUCAAUCUACUCUCACAUGGUGCAGCAUAAAUAUAUUUUUCCACAAACUAUAUAGCACAAAUAGUACAACAAUAGUAUCAAUAGUACAAUAUAUAUAUAUAUAUAUAUAUAUAUAUAGUUGAGCUAGAAUACUAUCGGUAGUAAACGAGCUAUUUUACUACCGAUUUGUUUUCGAUGAUAGAGCUUCUAAAUUGACGAUCGGCUCCGUUGAACAUGAUCUAUACCACUUGAAAUGUUUAGAAAUCAGAUUUCAAAUCUUUUCGACGUCAUUUGCUUAAUGAUCAAAGGGUUUCAAAAUUUGUAAUUUUAAUGGUCGAUAAGAGGCGUUUUCUCGUUUACCGGCGUAAAGAUAUCCAAAUCAAUUGAAUUUUUGUUAGAAAAUUCUUUAAACUAUUUAAAACAAGAUCUAUACUCAUUUUUAGUUAACACUUUGUGAUGUGAUUUAGCGUGGACGUCAAAGUGACGAUCUCACUUUGAAUCAAUACGUUACACUAUUUAUUUUGAUAAUUAUAUAAAGAUGUAAGUCUAUUUAUUUCGCUGGGAAAAUUAUUUUGUAACCAAUCAAUGUCUAGCCUGAUCGGGCAUGUAAAUGGAGUCUCUUACUGUUUUGCCAACUUAGCUGGCCGUUUAUUUGUGUGUCAGUGUUUUUUUUAGUUAUUAAGAGGAGAGGACAUUGCUCAAAUGCGAUUUGAGCUUAAGUCUAACUCCUUUAGUCGGUGUAAAUACAAGCUACGUGACUUUCUCUUAUAGAUAGAGUUAGUAUAAUAUAUAGAACAUUUUUCAUGUGCAUGGCAGUUUUUUAAUCAAAUAUUCGAAGUAUCUCUCCAAUUGUGAAGCUUUUUCAUCACAGUAUAUAUCCAAAUGGUGUCUUCUGAAACUAAUAACAACCGACACGGGCCACUCAAAAGAAUGAAUAUUCCUUCCUAAAAAGUGAUAUAAGAAUGUAUGUUAUCCUACACGUAUUGCGUAAAUAUUAAGUAUUUAAAGGGUCAAUCUUGUUCUAACAAAUGUUAUACACCCAUUUAUAAAAUCUCUUCCCAGCUAUCGUUAAGAAUUGCCAGCUUAAUGCGAAAAUCAUAUACAUUAAUACGGUUAAACGAGAAAACGCCUCAUAUCGACCACUUAAAAUUAGCAAAUUCGAAACCGGAUCAUUAGUCAAUGAUGUCGAAAAAGUUGAAAUUGAUUCUAGAUACUUCAGGUGAUAUAGAUAUGUCCACUGUGCCGACUUGCACAAUUUGUAAGAUCUCCAUCAUUUGAAAACGAAAUGGUAGCAACGAGCCAUUUGCUACUGAUAGUAUUUCAGCUCAACUCAAUAUAAUAUAUAUAAUAUAUUAUAUAUUAUAAUAUAUAUAUAAUUAUAUAUAUAUAUAAUAUAUAUAAUAUAUAAUAUAUUAUGAGGUUGGCGCUUGUCUCUUAAGAGCACAGGGCAGCCCUGUGCUCCUAAAGCAUCAGCCAUCCAUCUAAAUAGAUGGAUGGCUGACGAUUGGAGGAGCUUUUAAAAUUAACCCCCAGUUUUUUUUAGAUUGUUAACCAACCAUAUUUUCUCUUCCUCUUUUUUGUUUUUGUCUUUUUUUUUUUCUUUUCUCUUUUUCUCUUUCCUUUUUCUUUUCAUUCGUCCGGAGCGGGAAGUCAUGCCCGAGCGGGGGGGGGGGGGAGUGCUGCCAGAAUGGGGGGCGGUCAGCGCCGAGGGUGAAGGUCGUGCGCGGGCGCGAGGGGGGCGGUCGCCGCGCGGGGUCGCCCGAGCGAAGGUCGGGGGGGGGGGGCUCGGCCGAGGGCAGGGUCGCGCGUGGGGUGCUCGCGGGGGUGCCUGGGUGCGGCGCGGCCGGUCUGAUGCUGAGGGGGCUCCCGCGCUAACCACUCCAGUGGCGCUCAAGGGUCGAGGAGCUCCGCGAUUCAACAGGAAGAGGCGAGACAGGGAGAGAGAUUUCGGGAAAGAACGAUGGAGAUGAAGCAUGUUAGAGAUAUGGAGUUGAGAACCUGGGAAGAACGACAGUGAGAAGGAAGAAGAGAUAAAGAGAAAAGAAAAGAAAAAAAGACAUAAUCAACAGAAAAGAGGAGAAGAAAUUAUGGUUUGGUAACCCAUCUACGCGGGUUACCUUUUAAAAGCUCCUCCGAAUCUUCACCAUCCAUCUAUUAGUAUGGAUGGGCUGAUGCCUUAGGAGCACAAGGCGCUGGCUCUAAGAUGCACAGCAGCCCAAUUCUAUAUAUAUAUAUAUAAUAUAUAUAUAUAAUAUAUAUAUAGAAAAGAAGAGAGAGAGAGAGAGAGAGAAGAGCGCUUGGUCUGGUAUACUAUCCGAUAGCACAGAGCUCAGUGCUCCAAUUGUUUUGCAAUUGAUUUCGGCUUCAAAUCGACGAUGCAGCCAUUAAAACAUGAUCUCACACUAUUAAAAGUAUUUGAAAACUAAUAUGUUCAAAUUUUUCAUAUCAUUAUCUCUAUCAACAUGAGUCUAGUGCAAAAUGAAGGCCUGAAAAUAAAAAUCUCAUAAAAAUAAUGAUAAAAUAUUUGAAUUUAAGAUAGACAGUUACCUGAUCUUACUCUAAAUAGUGAAAAGAAUUUUUUAUAAACUGUCAUCAGAUUUGGAUUGUUCUUACACCAUCAUAAAUUCACAACACGCUCACACUCGACAUUAAAAUUUAAUUAUGAGACCAUUUUGAUCCUACUAAAAGGUGUUUGAAAAAAAUUUUUUUAUAAAAUUUAGUUUCAAAUACUUUUAUAAUGAUAGAUAUAUGAUCCUAACAGAGCCAUCGUCCGAAUUGGGAGUCCCAGAAUCAUUGAUAAACAACUUUGUGCACGAAUAGGGCCUUCCGUGCUAUCGAUAGUGUAUCAGCCUAGCGGCUCUCUCUCCUCUCUCUUCUUCUCUCUCUCUCUACUCCUCUCUCUCUCUCUAUAUAUAUAUAUAUAUAUAUAUAACCUUAUAUAUAUAUAUAUAAUAUAAUAAUAAUGUCUGGAGAUACUAUUGAUAGCCAAAAGAUCCUUUUUGCUAUCAAAUUUUUUAACUACUUAGAUGAGAAAUUGUAGGUUUAUGACAUACUAGUCCCUAGGGUUGAGUUAGUUCUAUUGAUUACAUAUUAAUCGCAAUAGUUAACAAUAUGAAAAUAAUUAUUCAAAGGCAAAAAUUUUGGAUACAAAAAAAAGUCUCUUUACUAUCAUAAUAUUCUAGGUCCAACUAUAUUAUAUAUAUUAUAUAUAUACUAAUAUAUAUAUAUAUAUAUAUUAUAUAUAUAAUAAUAUAUAUAACAUAUAAUAUACUAUAUAUAUAUACAGUUGAGCUAGAAUACUAUCGGCUAAUGAAAUCAGCGUUUUACUACGAUUUGUUUUCGAUGAUAAGACUUCAAAAUUUGACGAUUCGGCUCCGUUAAAUAUAUAUCUAAACAUUUUAAACUACUAGAAAUUAAAUU
rnacentral:lncRNA from 1 species